rnacentral:rRNA from 1 species
UACGUAGGGUGCAAGCGUUGUCCGGAAUUAUUGGGCGUAAAGAGCUCGUAGGCGGUCUGUCGCGUCGGCUGUGAAAACCCGAGGCUCAACCUCGGGCCUGCAGUCGAUACGGGCAAACUAGAGUACUGCAGGGGAGACUGGAAUUCCUGGUGUAGCGGUGAAAUGCGCAGAUAUCAGGAGGAACACCGGUGGCGAAGGCGGGUCUCUGGGCAGUAGCUGACGCUGAGGAGCGAAAGCGUGGGGAGCGAACAGG